GACGAACGCUGGCGGCGUGCUUAACACAUGCAAGUCGAACGGAAAGGCCCUGCUUUUGUGGGGUGCUCGAGUGGCGAACGGGUGAGUAACACGUGAGUAACCUGCCCUUGACUUUGGGAUAACUUCAGGUAACUGGGGCUAAUACCGGAUAGGAGCUCCUGCUGCAUGGUGGGGGUUGGAAAGUUUCGGCGGUUGGGGAUGGACUCGCGGCUUAUCAGCUUGUUGGUGGGGUAGUGGCUUACCAAGGCUUUGACGGGUAGCCGGCCUGAGAGGGUGACCGGCCACAUUGGGACUGAGAGACGGCCCAGACUCCUACGGGAGGCAGCAGUGGGGAAUAUUGCACAAUGGGCGGAAGCCUGAUGCAGCAACGCCGCGUGCGGGAUGACGGCCUUCGGGUUGUAAACCGCUUUCGCCUGUGACGAAGCGUGAGUGACGGUAAUGGGUAAAGAAGCACCGGCUAACUACGUG
rnacentral:rRNA from 1 species